rnacentral:ncRNA from 1 species
UCUAGGGAAAAGCAAACCAUUCUGAAAAGAUGGGACGCAAAGCCGCUGGCCUAAAUCGCCGUUCCCGAGCGGAGACAUGGUAGCAGGGUUACCUCA